rnacentral:lncRNA from 1 species
GAGGUGAGUUUUUUUGGGGGAAAUAGAAACCUCUUCAAUAAAUCAAUUAUUGAAUCUAUAUAAAAAUACUUCAUUCCUUACAUAUUACAUUACUUGCUACUGUUUCAAAUUAUGUCAUUUUUUUCAUAGAAUAGUUAACAUUUAGAUAUCAGCUUCAAUUUCUGAUUUCAAUUUCUUUAGAUAUCAGCUUCAAAAAUUUCUUCAUAUACCUGUUUCAAAGUUGAUUGAUUAGAAUACAUAUUAUUUUUACUCUUAAGCGUAUCAACAUGGUAUUCUACUAUUCUUUAUUCAUGAAUCAAGAUAUUUUUGCUACCGAUGCUGCAUUGGUAAAACGAGUUGACAAAUGCUGGAGAAUAAACAACUCCAUAUUCAUACUAAUUUUCUCCAAAGCAAAUAAUAAAUUCCUAAAUGCAAUUAAGAGAACCCUAGCAAAGUUCUCCUCCUUCUCUGGGCUAGAAAUUAAUGCUAUAAAAAGCUCAAUGACAUUAUCCAAGGUCUGUGCUGAAGAUCAAACACUACAAGCCAUUCUUGACUUCCCCAUCAAAGCCCUUCCCCUCACAUACCUAGGCCUACCAAUAACAGGGAAGAAAAAAAUCCUAUAAUCAAUGCUGGAAACUGAUACAACCAAUAGAGAACAUAUUAGCAAAAUGGAGUGGGAAAUGUCUCUCCUAUGGGGGAAGAAUUCAGCUAGUAAUUUGGAUUCUUGCAGGGAAAUACACCUACUGGGCACAAGGCACAACUCUGCCUGAAUCUAUAACAAAAAGGGUAAAGAAACUAGCAUAUAAUUUCAUAUGGAAUGGGAAAAAAGGAACACCUUGGAAACAAAUGAUCCUAUCCAAAGCAGAAGGAGGAUUAGGGGCAAGAAACCUAGACGUCAUAGUACCUGUCAUAAACAUCAAAAUAAUUGCAAACUUUUGGGAAAAAUCAGCCUCAAUACUAGAUACAUGGAUCCAAGGGAGAUACAUAAAGGGAAGGGCCCUUUCAAGCAUCCAGAUAAAAAACACUAUAGACCCCCACUUCUGGAAAUUUGUAAUGGGGGAUAGCCCCAAAGCAGAUGCACUAAUUGAGUGCGGUCCAAAUUAUACAAUCCUGUGGAAAAAUGGAACCCCGAACAAGAAACUAGCAAAAAUAGCUGAGAUAAUUAGGGACAAAAGCCAUAGAGACAAUCUAGCAGAAGGAAUAUGGUCAAACAAACCCACAAAAUUCUCCAUACUCCUCUGGAGAAUAAAAUGGGGACAUAUAAACACCUUCACCAGACUAAAUGGAUGGGGCAUGCUAAACCAAGCCACAUGCCUAUUAUGCAACAUCGAAAAUGAAACGAGAAGUCACUUAUUUUUCAACUGCACUUUGCACUAGAGCCAUUCUAUUACCCUUAAUAGAAAAACUAGACAACAUAUUCUGGAAAAUCAUGAACAUACCAACAUCCACAACCACACACCCAGACAUUAGGCUAGGAGACCUAACUGAGGCAUAACAAAAGCUAACACGUCACUCUCCAAUUUGGGGUUUAUUAUGGAACACGAUUGGAGCCUUAAGUUGACACAUAUGGGCAGAAAGAAACAGAAGAUGGUAGCAACACUUACUCAGACCACUAGAAACAAUACUCAAUGAGGUAAUAAAUGACAUAAGAUUUUCCUUCAAUCCUGAGCUGCUGUCACCCAUUGGGGCAUAGCACGAUACAAAUAUGGGAGACCAACCUCCGGAGGCAGAUAACCUAGUACCCAACACUAGGUAGUAUGGCUGUGUGGAAAGUGUCAAAUGAGUCUUGUUCUCUUUACCAUAUUCUAUUUUCUUAUCCCCAAUGUAAUAAGGGCAAUGUCCUUCAUUAUAAAUAUUUAACUGCUUCAAAAAUAAAAACUCCAUAUUUGCAGACUGGGUAAAAAUUAGAUAGAUUAGGAGUAGGGAUGUAGAAGACAUUAUCGGUAGACCAAAAUAGACUCACAUAUGUGGAAAACAACACUGACAAAUAAGGAAACCAUAAAAUUAUGUAUACAAUGUUUAAGCAAUCAUAGAACAACACAUUUAUCCCCACUUCCCCACUCUGGAAUCCUAAGGCCUUAGGGUAUCAGUCAAACCUUAAACUUAGGGGUAUAUUCUAGAAUGCUGCCCAAAUUCUCCAUCGCUACUAUGGAGAAUUAAAGUCAAAAGCCUUAAUACUCUAACUACAUUGCAAGGGUGGGGCAUCAAUUUAUUGGCAACCUGCCCUCUGUGGAGUAGAGGAGGAAUCUAUUUAACAUCUUUUUUUCAACUGUCACUACACUAGACAUCUACUACUAGAGUGUUGAGGUUUUAUGUAAUUGGGAGUUACAAGUAUGGAGACUGUUUUAAUUGGUGUUUAAUUGGCCAAUUAAGAGGUCGGUUACAAGGCCAAUUAAUGAGUCAUUAUUUUGGGAAUGACCCAAAAUAAUCCCUAUAAAUAGCUACUCUUAUAUUAAACUUGUGUGUAAGUUGUAAUAGGGCUUAGACACCAUCAUUCUAGUGCACUAUCGUGGAUGUACACCAUCAUUGGGUGGAACCAUGUAAAAAUUCUCUUGUGACCUUUCAUUUUCCCUACUCUUUCUUUUUCUGUUGAUUACUCUUAUUCUCAACAGAAUCUCAACCUCAUUUUCGCAAGAAGAUCAUUCUGAUCUUUUAGGAAGCGCUUAACAGAUUUUACAUCUGUCAAGGAGUGAUCAUCAGAUAUAUCAUAUCAUAUAUCAGAUCACUGUCAUAGAGACCACUAGCAGAGGAUAUAAUGGAAACAAUAGAAAAAAUCACACAUAAAGCCAGUUGUUGGGGUACAUACCAAAGUUUUUCAGACGGCCAUGCGGUCAUGCGAUGGCCCUGACCGCAUGGCCGCAUAAUAUUCAUUGGGAAUUUUACAAUUAUUAGUAAUAUGAUAUGAUAUCAUAUAUAUCAUAUCAUAUAUAUUAUAUCAUUAAUAACAAUAUAUACCCUGCAUUUAUAUAUUCACAAUAAACAUAGAAGUUUAUAGAAAAUAUAGAAGUUUUCCCUGUAUUUAUAGAAAAUAUAGAAGUUUUCCCUGUAUUUAUAGAAAAUAUAGAAGUUUUCCCUGUAUUUAUAGAAAAUAUAGAAGUUUUCCCUGUAUUUAUAGAAAAUAUAGAAGUUUUCCCUGUAUUUAUAGAAAAUAUACAAGUUUUUCAGAAAAUUUAUAAUAUAUACCCUAAGUUUAUGAAAUAUAUAGUAAAUAUACAAGUUUUCCAGAAAAUUUACAAUAUAUACCCUAAGUUUAUAAUAUAUAUAUAUACUAUUUAUUAAUAUUUAUAAUAAAUUUAUUAUAUAAUAUAUAGAUCAGGUGGGAAAGAAGGCAUCGAGAUUUCUAACCUGAUUUACAGAAGCUACUCCGCUGAAAGAAGAACAAGAAGGGGGCGGAGCUAGGGUUUGCGAGCGUCUUUGCAGAUGUGGAGGAAUAAGGUGUUUUAUUUUAUUUUAAUCGGGUAAAUGGGUUAGGCAGAUCCGCCUAACCCGUCCAGCGCAUGAAGGCAAACGCCUACAUGCGCUGGACCGCAUGGUCGCAUAUGCGACGCCUAGGCGUCGCAUGAAAACGCAUGGUACACACUGGUUAGCUCUUGGGUCUCUAUCCUGACACAUAUGGUGUGAAAGAAAUAAAAGAUUAAAACAACACACACUAAGACCACUAAAAGUUAUCAGCAGAGAAAUAUUGAGGGAUGUGAGCAUUGUCUAUGGUGCCACACCUUAUAAAAAGAGCAAUCUGUCUCAGAUUGAAAUUUGAAACAAAUGUUAUAUUUCCACGCAAGGUUGUGCCUCUGCGCGAUGCGUCACGAUCUUGAGCAUUUGAGCUAGUGUCAUUUUCGUAAAUAUUUAAAAAAUAAGGGAAAUUCAAAUACUUUUUAUAUAUCAAUUCCAAAAAUAAUCAAAAUACUUAGAAUAGUUUAGAAAACAUAGAAUUAACAUAAUCAACUAUCAAAUACAAAGCAUUUAUAAGGUUCAAAACGACUAUGAAUAUACGAUCUAUGGGUUAUUGCGUUUCCGCCAAGCUUUUACAUGCGGCCAGGCGUUCAUGCGAUGGAUCUGGUCGCAUGAACGCCUAGGGCGCCUAGGCGUUACAUAAAUGCGUUCGCCGGAGCUUGCGGGAAACGCGUUCGACGUUCACCAGAGGUGGCUGGAGGUGGUCGCCGUCUGUCCCAACCGGUCGCCGGAGGUGGAGGAAAUGACCUGAAAACGAGGUGGGAGGGUGGCUGGAAAUUUGGGAGAAAGGGGAAGAAAAUGGGAGAAAAAUGAGGGGGUUAGGGUUUUAAAGCCUUAUUCCCUCAUUUUUAUAAUAAUUAAUGAGUAAAUGGUUUAGGCAGAUCCAAUCGGAUCCGCCUAACCCGCCUAGCGCAUGAAGGUAUCGCCUAAGUGCGCCUAGGCGAUCUCAUGAAAAACCUUGGUUUCCGCUCUAACCGUUUAUAGAACAUAGGAGUUUUGCCUUUAUCUACUUGAGCUCCAACUCGAGCUCGAGAUUGAGGUUGGGGUUCAAGUGUCGGUUUAUGUUCUAAUGCUUCACCCUUAUCUUCACUUUCUUCAAGUUCUCGAACCUCAUUACGAACUUGACUAGUAAAUGGUCUAGCUUGACCACUUCUAAUUGAUGGCCCUGGGUGCUCAGUUGCUCAAGCUGCCGUCUCCACGUCGACCCAAGUGAGGCCUUUUUAAGUAUACACCCACUCAUUGCAUGCUCCAUCAAUACCUGUGACUCAUUCACUCAUCAAGUUGAACUCGCCAACGUGGCUGGCAUCAUACUUCUUGGAGCCGCUUUCAACCAGUAACAUGUUCGUUUUGAACCUCUCUGACAACUUCAUAUUGUAGUUGACGUAGACGAGGUUAUCUAGCUGAGUGACGCUUAAUCGAUUCCUAGCCUUUGUGUGGAAUUGUAAAUUACAUUUGCUUUUAGACAGUCAAAUGACAUAAAAUAAAUAAUCGAACAUGUAAAGAACUUACAUGUCAGAAAGUAUUCCAAUUCCUUUCACAGCUUCAAGCUGAGCAAUAUAAACUCAAGAUUCUUGUUGCGAGUUUCGCCAAAUCCACAGUUAUUGUGCCAAAUAUUUCCCACAACUGUAGUGGAUGUGUACCUUCAACCAUUCCAAAUAUUGUAUCUGCUCCAAAACGUCCUGGCCUCUUCUUGUACAAGCACAUGUCUGAUAAGAUUGUGAGAUUGUCAUCUUGACUGGUAAAUCAUUAAUAUUCAUUCGGUCAACGCAUUCAGAGAAUGCUAUCUCAUACUUAAUACACUCAUCCCUUGUUUCAAGAUUAUUGUAGUUGAAAAAAAUGGAAUUAAACAAUGACUCAACUCAUAAAUUCAUUUAUGAAAUAGAAAUAAACAAUACCUUUUCAUCUUGUAGUAGAAACCGGAUUCAAGAAGAAUGCAACUUUUAUUAGAGGAGCCUUAUAAUUGGACCAAUCAAAUUUCCUCAUAUUAUCCUAGACACUUUUGAGACUUUGAAGGGUGAGGAGGAAAGCCGUCAAACAAGAAGAACUACCCAAGGUCAAGCUUCAACAUCUCAAGCUCCUUAAGAAGAAGAAAUACUCGAUUCUUUGUUUCCUGAUGAUGUCGUGAAGACUGAAGAAGAGUUUGGUCCUUCUCCAAACCUAAAGGACCAAUCAUCUUAAUCACGCCAAGUCCAUUAUCUUCUUUGUUGUAGUCGAUAAAGUCGAGCAUGUACCAUUGAAUGCCAUCUUUCUCUUAAUGAGAUUUGUCGGUAGUAGCUCGAUCGUUGGUUUCUUCGCAACGAUUUUGUUUUGCAAACCUUCAAGAUCUCGUCUCUAAUCUUCAUUGGGGCUUUCAGGCACACUCGUACUAAUUUUUCACCAUUCGGAUUCACUCGGGUGAUGUGAACCUUGACAUGGUGGAUUCCGUCGGUAGAAACGAAUCCACAAAGAAGGCACUGAAACUGGUUGUGCAAUUUGCCUUGUCGUUUUUCUGCAUAUGCGGCAUACUUCCAAGUAGGGUCGUCGGGAGGGUCGCCGACGGUUGGGGCCAAGGAGGUGGCCGGAUGGAGGAGUAUUGGGGAUGAAAAUCAGACUUGCAAGUCCUUGAUUUAAUUAAUUAAAUCAGAGCCGGAUCCGGGUUGGAUCCAAGAGGCGCACAUGCGCAUAAGCGUGCACAUCCGAGAUUAUGAUUAUUAGGGCACAACUUCUAAGAUAACCACCUGAUCCUUCACAAAGGAUCUCAUCCAUUGAUGACUGUUUAUGUGUAUUAUAUAAUUAUCACAUGAGCUCAUUAAUGACUGCUGUAAUUAAACUAAUUAAACAGUCUAAAACAGUCUACACUAUUAUAAAAUGAGUAUCCCUUAUUUCUCUAACAUAUUUUUAGUCCAUGUAGUUGUCCAAAUCUUAACACUGUAAAAUUAGCUAGUUAGUUUGUUGUAAUUUCCUCAAAGAUUUUAAACUUCCGUAUAAUAAUUGCAUUGAGCCAUUCUGCUUUGUUAUUAGGCCUUUUGUAAUAGGCAGUGUAUUUUGAUAAAGUUGCAUAGCUUGGGUAAAAACCAUAAUUUUAGAUAUAUUCGUAUAUAUCAAAUAUCAUAAUAUACAACUAUUAGUGUAUAAAAAUAUAAAAUAUGCAUCAAUAUCUUUUCUCUUUUGUUUGGUACUCUUUUUUUUUACUUUCCGUAUGAUUCAGAUGGUUACAUGAUUACAUCUACUAAAAUAUAUUUUGUAAUUGCAUUUUGGCUAUUUUCCAGACUCAUAAGGAUAUCUCCUUUUGCAAAUCGCUUGUCGGCCGAUUCAUAUCCUUCAGUUCAACGUCUUAGAUGUUUGGCAAAUUAUGAGGCAAUGCGAUUUUCAGAUCCUAUAGCAACUUUCUCUAAGAAUUUGGUUAAUCGAAUGAAAGAAACUAGUAUUAAAAGCAAUGGUAAUUAUAUUGCUGUGCAUCUUCGAUUUGAAGAGGUUAGUUUCUUUGUGACUUGCUUUUGAAUGUUCUUCCAAAUUCCAAUAAAGCAUUGAUGAUAUUUUAUAUUUACCUAUUUCCUUUGUUGAAUUUUAGGAUAUGGUUGCCUUCUCAUGCUGUGUAUAUGAUGGUGGGGAUCAAGAGAAACUUGUCUUGAGUGCAGCCAGAGAAAGAGGCUGGAGAGGAAAAUUCACUAAACCUGGUCGUGUUAUACGACCUGGAAUGAUCAGGAUCAAUGGAAAGUGUCCACUUACACCCUUAGAGGUAUACAUUUUAUAUUGGUAUAGCAUUUAUUUCACUAGUGGAGCAUUGAGUGUCAUAGAAUUUUAUUGUUUUCUAGUUAUUGCCAUUUAGGUUGGCUUGAUGCUUAGAGGCAUGGGUUUCAAUAACAACACAUCAAUCUACUUAGCAUCUGGAAAGAUUUACAAUUCAGAGAAAACAAUGAUCCCUCUCCGGGAAAUGUUUCCUCUUGUACAAACUAAGCAUACAUUAGCAUCAGAAGAGGAGCUUGCUCCAUUCAAGGUAUAUCUCCUAUUCUCCUCAUCUAUUCAUUCUCAAUUCUCUCAUUUUUGUAGUUUUUGCCUGAGUCUAAGUUGAAAUUAUGUUUCUUCCAGAACUAUUCAUCUAGGAUGGCUGCUAUAGACUACACUGUAUGCCUUCACAGUGAAGUUUUUGUAACAACACAAGGUGGAAAUUUUCCUCAUUUUGUGAUUGGUCAUAGGAGGUAUUUGUAUGAUGGACAUUCAAAAACUAUUAAGCCAGAUAAAAGGAAGCUAGCAAUAUUGUUUGAUAAUCAAAAGAUUGGGUAAUUUUCUUUCUUAUGUUCGACCUGUAAUUCAGAGCAUUCAUCAAUAUAUUCUUAUUUUCAAACUUUUUGCAGAUGGAAAUCCUUCAAGCGGCAACUACUAAACAUGCGGGCUCAUAGUGAUUCUAAAGGUGUCGAGGUUAAACGACCAAAUGAUUAUUUGUACACAUAUCCAUGCCCAGACUGUAUGUGUCCCUUAAACAAAACUGAAAUUUAAAGAAGAAUGUCAACCGGCAAGGUGAUUUUUUUGGAGAAAAUCGAGUCCGAGUUACACUUCUAACUUGCUACAAUCUUCUCGGAUUUCUCAAAUGUUUUUAAAUGCCAUAGAAUUCUUUUGUUGCUUGGAUGGAUGGAGGGGAGUGUUGUUUUUCUAAGCUUGUGCACUCCUGAGGAGAAUGAAGAAAAGGUGUCUUGUUAUGCAUCCUCUAAAGUGCAAAUAUCAUCCUCUAAAGCACAAAUAUUUGAUUACUGUAAGAUUUGAACUUCCCACUUCUUGUGUAUUCUUUCCAUUUUUUCCAAUACCCUAAGUUUUGAUAGAUUUUUUUAAAGGUUUGGUGUUGUAGUCUUGUAGUUAGAGAUAUACCCACCGUCAUUGUAAAGAUUGUUGAUAAAGGAAUCGUCAGGGUGUUUAAUACAUUCAUUUCUUUUUGGCUUUAUUUACUUAUCUUUUUAAACAUUUAUGAUUACUGCUAGAUUGAAGUUAUGUACCUUUUGAUGCAUGGGUGUGAUUUGUCUCGACCACCAGUUGCGGAUCAUUGAUUGAGAUUUGAGAAAACAAAUUACCUUCAGGUUGGGUUUUAUGAGUUUUUUUUUUCAAAAUCGAUGGAACCAAAGAUUACCUGAAUUCCAGAAAACUCAAUGGUGAAUGAUGUUCAGAAGAAGAAAAAUCUACCGAAAUGAAAAGUUUAUCGUUUUUCCUUCCCUGGUUCAAGGAGCACCAUAAAGAAGAUUGUUUUCUUGCAAUUUCUAUCUCUGCGGCGAGCGUGAGCUCGCAUAUACAAUGUAGGUCAUGUCUCUUACGAUUUCCUGUUAUUCUUAUGUAGGGUGUGAUCUAUGAGCACCCACGAUGAGGAUCGCCAUUUCCAAAAUGGCAUAAGAUAUAAAU